CCCAUUUCCAAUUCAUUUUUUAUUUUUUUUUAAAACACAGCUUUGUUGGCCUUAAAUUUCUACAUCGAUGUAAACCCAUUGUUAAAAGAAUAAACACUUUAGUGUUUUCAUCAGAUUGCAUAAUCGUUUAAUAAGAUUUGCGCUACUGUUUCAGGUUUGCUACAUGAAUUGCAUGACUCCAAUUUUCAUCCUACCCCCUCCAACAUCUCCAGAUGAUUAAUAAUAAAAAGUGACAUAAGCCUAGUGUUGAUUUUUUUUUUUUGCAUCAUUCUAAAAAUGAAGUAGAUUUUGUGUAUUGAUCUGUAUCUACAGACCUAAAAGGGUUAAUGAAAGGUAGAAAACAAUAAAUACACUGCAGAUCAAUCACUUGUGUUCUAGCAUCAAUUAGACAUUGCAGAACACCAU